CACAGUGUAGCUUAAACCCAAUAAAGCAUCUGGUCUACACCCAGAAGACUCCACACCCAAUGGACGCUAUGA